rnacentral:lncRNA from 1 species
UGCGUGUUGCGCGCUUUGGUGCCCUGGGUUCAUUGACUUAAUGCUCACGAAGACCCGAGAGCUCUAAGCCAGAACCUAAGGGGGCCAGAAGCUGGGAUCCAAGUCUACUUGUCCCACCCCCUCCACUGGAACUCCCUGGCCCCCAGCUCUGCACAGCUCCUGCCCUGCAGCCCUCGCCUGGCUGUGCUCCGGGAAGUCCUCGUGGGCACUUCACCCUGCUCUGCAGCCACACUCACACCCUAGAUCCAGGUCACACUAGGUAUGAUUUGCUUCUCCUGGCCUUUCCUCUCACCAGCCCCGCUAUCACCUCAUUUAGAAGAGGCAAAGACCCCACUGGCUCGGACUUCACCAACCUGGAGCAGGGGAGAGAAGCUAAGUUCUGACCUUUGAUCAGAAGAUGGGGAAGCCACACUCAACACGUCACUGCCUUGGGAGGUGGAUUUGGGGAUGGUGGGUCCUGGGGAAAAACGGGCUUUUGGUGUGGAAAUGACAUCUUUCCUGUUUCCGACCUCUGCCUGCCUCAUGCCAGGUGAGACACCUUCAUGCCUGUUUCCAUGAUUGAGAACAUGGGAGUACGCUUCUUUCCACCUA